rnacentral:rRNA from 1 species
UGGGGAAUAUUGGACAAUGGGCGAAAGCCUGAUCCAGCCAUGCCGCGUGUGUGAAGAAGGUCUUCGGAUUGUAAAGCACUUUAAGUUGGGAGGAAGGGCAGUAAGCGAAUACCUUGCUGUUUUGACGUUACCGACAGAAUAAGCACCGGCUAACUCUGUGCCAGCAGCCGCGGUAAUACAGAGGGUGCAAGCGUUAAUCGGAAUUACUGGGCGUAAAGCGCGCGUAGGUGGUUCGUUAAGUUGAAUGUGAAAGCCCCGGGCUCCACCUGGGAACAGCAUCCAAAACUGGCGGGCUCGAGUAGGUCAGAAGGUGGUGAAAUUUCCUGUGUAGCGGUCAAAUGCGUAGAUAUAGGAAGGGACACCAGUGGCGAAGUCGACCAACUAGACUCAUACUGACACUGAAGUGCGAAAGCGUGGGGAGCAAACAGG